GACGAACGCUGGCGGCGUGCCUAAUACAUGCAAGUAGAACGCACAGUUUAUACCGUAGCUUGCUACACCAUAGACUGUGAGUUGCGAACGGGUGAGUAACGCGUAGGUAACCUGCCUGGUAGCGGGGGAUAACUAUUGGAAACGAUAGCUAAUACCGCAUAAUAUUAAUUAUUGCAUGAUAAUUAAUUGAAAGGUGCAAUUGCACCACUACCAGAUGGACCUGCGUUGUAUUAGCUAGUAGGUGAGGUAACGGCUCACCUAGGCGACGAUACAUAGCCGACCGUAGAGGGUGAUCGGCCACACUGGGACUGAGACACGGCCCAGACUCCUACGGGAGGCAGCAGUAGGGAAUCUUCGGCAAUGGACGAAAGUCUGACCGAGCAACGCCGCGUGAGUGAAGAAGGUUUUCGGAUCGUAAAGCUCUGUUGUAAGAGAAGAACGGGUGUGAGAGUGGAAAGUUCACACUGUGACGGUAGCUUACCAGAAAGGGACGGCUAACUACGUG
rnacentral:rRNA from 1 species